rnacentral:rRNA from 1 species
GAUGAACGCUAGCGGCAGGCCUAACACAUGCAAGUCGAGGGGUAACAGGAAUUAGCUUGCUAAUUUGCUGACGACCGGCGCACGGGUGCGUAACGCGUAUGCAAUCUGCCUUAUACUGGGGGAUAGCCUUUAGAAAUGAAGAUUAAUACCCCAUAGUAUGUGACUGUGGCAUCACAGACACAUUAAAGGUUACGGUAUAAGAUGAGCAUGCGUCCUAUUAGCUAGAUGGUGUGGUAACGGCACACCAUGGCAACGAUAGGUAGGGGCCCUGAGAGGGGGAUCCCCCACACUGGUACUGAGACACGGACCAGACUCCUACGGGAGGCAGCAGUGAGGAAUAUUGGACAAUGGAGGCAACUCUGAUCCAGCCAUGCCGCGUGCAGGAAGACUGCCCUAUGGGUUGUAAACUGCUUUUAUACGGAAGAAACCCCCUACGUGUAGGGGCUUGACGGUACCGUAAGAAUAAGCAUCGGCUAACUCCGUGCCAGCAGCCGCGUAAU